GACGAACGCUGGCGGCGUGCUUAACACAUGCAAGUCGAGCGGUAAGGCCCUUUCGGGGGUACACGCGCGGCGAACGGGUGAGUAACACGUGGGUGACCUGCCCUCAGCUCUGGGAUAAGCCUGGGAAACCGGGUCUAAUACUGGAUAUGACUCCAUGACGCAUGUUGUGGGGUGGAAAGCCUUGUGCGGCUGAGGAUGGGCCCGCGGCCUAUCAGCUUGUUGGUGGGGUGANGGCCUACCAAGGCGACGACGGGUAGCCGGCCUGAGAGGGCGACCGGCCACACUGGGACUGAGACACGGCCCAGACUCCUACGGGAGGCAGCAGUGGGGAAUCUUGCGCAAUGGGCGAAAGCCUGACGCAGCGACGCCGCGUGAGGGAUGACGGCCUCGGUU
rnacentral:rRNA from 1 species